rnacentral:rRNA from 1 species
UACGUAGGUGGCGAGCGUUGUCCGGAUUUACUGGGCGUAAAGAGCCCGCAGGCGGUCCGUUAAGUUUCAGGUGAAAUCUCCCGGCUCAACCGGGAGGAUGCCUGGAAAACUGGCGGACUUGAGGCAGGGAGAGGGAUGUGGAAUUCCACGUGUAGCAGUGAAAUGCGUAGAGAUGUGGAGGAACACCGAUGGCGAAGGCAGCCUCCUGGGCCAGUACUGACGCUCAUGCACGAAAGCGUGGGGAGCAAACAGG